rnacentral:rRNA from 1 species
AUGAAAUUUGAGAAGGGCCUCAAUACUGCCACAUUAUUAUCUAACGAGGUUAAAUGUAAACAAGUGGCUUUAUUAGAGCGAGACAUCCUUCUGAAGAAUCUAAAGAGUGUAUUGGAGUCACUGAGAGGUCAAGUAGCUGGCAAAUAUAAGGAUGAAAUUGGGGAAUCGGUAUCUAUGGUGGAUAUUUUAGCAGUUCAGCUGUCCAAAACAGAAAAUGAGUUGCUUCAGCAGAAAACCGAGGUCACGAGAAUAGCGACUUCACUAAAACUGGCUUCUGAAGAUGCUAGGAGAAUUGUUGACGAAGAACGAACUAAUGCACGCAUGGAGAUUGAAAAUGCUAGAGCUGCUGUACAAAGAGUUCAAAAAGUACUUAAAGAGAAAGAGAACAAUUCACAAAGAAUUAGAAAGGAGUUGCAGCCCACCUAA